rnacentral:rRNA from 1 species
CAAAUUGGGUUUCGUAGGUGACCUGCGGAAGGAUCAUUACAAAUAUCUGGGAUGGCCAAUUGGACUCCCAAGUAAAUAUACCCAUGUGUACUCUUCCAUGUUGCUUUCCCAGACCAGUGGCCAAUGCUGCCAGCCUAUCCCUUCAUGGGAUUCUGGGUUGAGGUGUCUGGGAAAGGGCUCAAUAAUAACCUUUUGAACAAAUUAGUUGUCUGAAGAGGCCAUGUGCCGCAAUCUUUAUAAUAUAUUAAAACUUUCAACAACGGAUCUCUUGGCUCUCGCAUCGAUGAAGAAUGCAGCGAAAUGCGAUAAGUAAUGUGAAUUGCAGAAUUCAGUGAAUCAUCGAAUCUUUGAACGCACAUUGCGCCCUUUGGUAUUCCUUAGGGCAUGCCUGUUCGAGCGUCACUAAAAAUCAUCUCACAGAUAGUGUGGUAUUGGCAGAAGUAGGUAGUACUAGUAGUGCUUUGUCUUACUCUACCAAAAUGAAUGGGCCAGAAAAGUGAAUCAUGGUAACAGACUCUCAGAGUGUUUUAAAAUGCUAUACUAGUCUAAACCAGAUUGGAACCUGAGCCUGUUGACCUCCAUAAAGUUCAAACCAGAGUGAUUGACCUCGGAUCAGGUAGGGAUACCCGCUGAACUUAAGCAUAUCAAUAAGCCGGAGGAA